GGGCUUCAUAGUCUUGCAAUUGGAAUGAGUAGAUUUUAAAUCUCUCUACGAGUAACAAUUGGAGGGCAAGUCUGGUGCCAGCAGCCGCGGUAAUUCCAGCUCCAAUAGCGUAUAUUAAAGUUGUUGCGGUUAAAAAGCUCGUAGUUGAAUUUCUGCCUCGGACGACCUACCCACCUACGGGUGCGUGUUAGUGUUGACCUGGGCAUCCUCCUAGUUGCGGCCACCCUUCACUGGGUGAUUCGCUCUAGGACUUUUACUUUGAGGAAAUUAGAGUGUUUCAAGCAGGCUUUCGCCUUGAAUAUAUUAGCAUGGAAUAAUAAUCUAGGACUUCGGUUCUAUUUUGUUGGUUCUGGACCGAAGUAAUGAUUAACAGGGACAGUCGGGGGCAUUCGUACUCAACAGUCAGAGGUGAAAUUCUUGGAUUUGUUGGAGACGAACUACUGCGAAAGCAUUUGCCAAGGAUGUCUUCAUUGAUCAAGAACGAAAGUUAGGGGAUCGAAGACGAUCAGAUACCGUCCUAGUCUUAACCAUAAACGAUGCCGACUAGCGAUUGAGGGUUGUUUAUUGACACCCUCAGCAGCUCGUGAGAAAUCAAAGUCUUUGGGUUCCGGGGGGAGUAUGGUCGCAAGGCUGAAACUUAAAGGAAUUGACGGAAGGGCACCACCAGGAGUGGAGCCUGCGGCUUAAUUUGACUCAACACGGGAAAACUCACCAGGUCCAGACAUGGGAAGGAUUGACAGAUUGAUAGCUCUUUCUUGAUCCUAUGGGUGGUGGUGCAUGGCCGUUCUUAGUUGGUGGAGUGAU
rnacentral:rRNA from 1 species